CGGUACCGGAGGAGGAAGCCCCGGCUAACUACGUGCCAGCAGCCGCGGUAAUACGUAGGGGGCAAGCGUUGUCCGGAUUCACUGGGCGUAAAGCGCGCGCAGGCGGUGAUGUAAGUCUGAGGUGAAAACCCGAAGCUCAACUUCGGGACUGCCUUGGAUACUGCGUCACUUGAGGAUAGGAGAGGCAAGGGGAAUUCCACGUGUAGCGGUGAAAUGCGUAGAGAUGUGGAGGAACACCUGUGGCGAAGGCGCCUUGCUGGCCUAUUUCUGACGCUGAGGCGCGAAAGCGUGGGGAGCAAACAGGAUUAGAUACCCUGGUAGUCCACGCUGUAAACGAUGAGUGCUAGGUGUAGGUGGGCUCAUACCCAUCUGUGCCGAAGCUAACACAUUAAGCACUCCGCCUGGGGAGUACGGUCGCAAGACUGAAACUCAAAGGAAUUGACGGGGGCCCGCACAAGCAGUGGAGCAUGUGGUUUAAUUCGAAGCAACGCGAAGAACCUUACCAGGACUUGACAUCCCAUAGACCAGUCUAGAGAUAGACUUUCCCUUCGGGGCUGUGGUGACAGGUGGUGCAUGGUUGUCGUCAGCUCGUGUCGUGAGAUGUUGGGUUAAGUCCCGCAACGAGCGCAACCCUUACUUUGUGUUGCCAGCAUUCAGUUGGGCACUCACAAGGGACUGCCGCCGAUAAGGCGGAGGAAGGUGGGGAUGACGUCAAAUCAUCAUGCCCCUUAUGUCCUGGGCUACACACGUGCUACAAUGGGCGGUACAACGGGAUGCGAAGCCGCGAGGUGGAGCCAAACCCUGAAAACCGUUCGUAGUUCGGAUUGUAGGCUGCAACUCGCCUACAUGAAGCCGGAAUUGCUAGUAAUCGCGGAUCAGCAUGCCGCGGUGAAUCCGUUCCCGGGCCUUGUACACACCGCCCGUCACACCACGAGAAUGGGCAACACCCGAAGUCGGUGGGGUAAC
rnacentral:rRNA from 1 species